rnacentral:rRNA from 1 species
GACAGAGGGUGCAAACGUUGUUCGGAAUUACUGGGCGUAAAGCGCGUGUAGGCGGCCAUCUAAAGUCGGGCGUGAAAUCCCCACGGCUCAACCGUGGAAGUGCACUCGAAACUGGAUGGCUAGAGCCUGGAGAGGAAGGUGGAAUGCUUGGUGUAGAGGUGAAAUUCGUAGAUAUCAAGCGGAACACCGGUGGCGAAGGCGGCCUUCUGGACAGUGACUGACGCUGAGGCGCGAAAGCGUGGGGAGCGAACGAGG